rnacentral:lncRNA from 1 species
AUUUCAAAAUUUCAAAUACAAAAAGGGAAAUAACUCUCAUAUGGAGCGUUCAUAUUGCUUCGGUCGAAAUUGGACAAAUCAUGCGAAGGAUAUAACGAGCAAUUUUAUAAAAUAAAUUUGUCGUAAUCUUUUACGGUUGCGAAGGAGUUGUGAUCACAAGGAAAACAGUGUUUGGGGAGAUAACUCCUACAAAGAAAAGUAUUCGGUUACACAGGGUAAAUUUCAAAAGCGCAUAAACUGUUCGAUAUCAUAUACCAAAUAUCUAAGCGACAUAUUGCGAAACAAAUGUUUAUCGCAAGAACAAAAUUUGGCGGAAGAAAAAAAAAAUAAUCAGAAG